GGGACUUAUGCCUACAACAGCAU
rnacentral:siRNA from 1 species